UCAUAUGGGAACAGUAAAAAGCCACAUC
rnacentral:piRNA from 1 species